UACGAAGGGGGCUAGCGUUGCUCGGAAUCACUGGGCGUAAAGGGUGCGUAGGCGGGUUCUUAAGUCAGAGGUGAAAUCCUGGAGCUCAACUCCAGAACUGCCUUCGAUACUGGGAGUCUCGAGUUCGGGAGAGGUGAGUGGAACUGCGAGUGUAGAGGUGAAAUUCGUAGAUAUUCGCAAGAACACCAGUGGCGAAGGCGGCUCACUGGCCCGAUACUGACGCUGAGGUGCGAAAGCGUGGGGAGCAAACAGG
rnacentral:rRNA from 1 species